GGGCCCGGCCGAUACGUCGAUUUUGUAUAUUCACGUUUUUCAACUAUUAAAUUCUUCUUCUUCCUGACCGGAACUUCGACGAACCUUUCAUUUUCAAUCUACCUCCCGGUCACAAACUUCUUUCCUAAAUAUACCAAUAUUUUAAAU